rnacentral:rRNA from 1 species
CCAGACUCCUACGGGAGGCAGCAGUGGGGAAUCUUAGACAAUGGGCGCAAGCCUGAUCUAGCCAUGCCGCGUGAGUGAUGAAGGCCUUAGGGUCGUAAAGCUCUUUCGCCAGGGAUGAUAAUGACAGUACCUGGUAAAGAAACCCCGGCUAACUCCGUGCCAGCAGCCGCGGUAAUACGGAGGGGGUUAGCGUUGUUCGGAAUUACUGGGCGUAAAGCGCGCGUAGGCGGACCAGAAAGUUGGGGGUGAAAUCCCGGGGCUCAACCCCGGAACUGCCUCCAAAACUCCUGGUCUAGAGUUCGAGAGAGGUGAGUGGAAUUCCGAGUGUA